ensembl:lncRNA
AUGUCUCUUUUGAGAGAUCACAAGAUCGUGCGUAUUUUGCUCAUUGUGCUUUCUCAGUUUGCUUACUUUGCUGCUUUGAUUAUCAACGCGCUCGCGGGACCAGGAAAAGGUCCAUUUCAGCGCAGCACUGGGAAUAUAUCAGACAGAUAUCAGACAGAGAUCACUCCUGCUGGAUGGACUUUUUCGAUAUGGGGUGUCAUCUACUCCUGGCUCUUCCUGAUGAACGCAUAUAUCCUGACCUGGCUCUGUAGAGGGUUUACAGUUGAAAACGUUCUAAUAGAGAAGCAUGUCCGUUACAUCCUCACCGUUUACCCUGUGAUUAUCUAUGCUCUAAUUGGAAGCCUGAGCAAGCAUUACGACGCAGCAGCACCUGGGCGGAACGCUGUCUUUUCAGCGGUGCUCCUCGUGUUGGCCUGUAUUGUGUUGGUGGUGCGCGUGGGGCUGGUGGUUUGGAGACACAGGACUCGGCCUCUCUACCAUGAAGUCAGUCCUGAGGUCCUGAUGUCACCAAGCAGCAGAACCGAUAAAUAACCAUACAUCAUAAACACUCAUAAAAACUUCAAAGAUGACGUGCCCUGAGCGGUAACACUUCC